AUCUUCUGUCGUGAUAAAUCUUCCCUAUAAAUAGGGCAAGUGUUAUGCAAAUACUCAUAUCAGUCAAGUUCAGAGUAAGCUCGAAGUCCAUUUAGCUGGGUCUUAUUGAAGGCAUUGUUUUUAGGUGAACUCGGACUUUCUCCAGGGUGAAGAUCCAAGAUCUUCGAUCGAGCAACGACAACGCUUAUGCAUUGUUUCCUUUUUGGGGGCGUUGCUUUUGGAGAACCUCAUUUGUAUUUCGGGUGUUGUCUUCGGUGGUUGGUAGAGUGCUACUGAUGCUAGUGAUUCAUCACCGUGGCAGGGUCUUUUUUUCUGUUCCUUUUAUUUUCCUUUUUGGCUGUGUAUUCUUGAUGCCUUUGAACAUCUUGUUGGUAUAGAGUCCGGGUGUAAUUGGUAUCUUUGUGAUAUUAAUAUGUUCCUUUUGUCAAAAAAAUUAAGAUAGGAAGUAAGAAUUAUAUACAAAUAAGCACCACAUAAACGGCAGCCCAAACUUCCCAUUCCGUCAUCGCAACACUAAGUAACUACUCGCUUAAGACUAUCUUUCUCCAUCUUCCGUGACUCAAGGCAAUGCUGGUGAAUUUUAUCGACUACUGAUGUAUGAAGCAGAGAGGUGUUGUUGCACACCCUUGUGCUUCUCUCAAGCACAUGCAUCAUAGCGAGCAGAGGAUCAACCAGUUGACACCUUUUCUCAGCUUGGGAGGGAUGCCCUGCUGAAGAUCAGACCACCAGGUGAGGACGUCUGGUUCGGCAGGAAGAUCCAUCUCAGGAUGUGAGACCAGACCUCACGCGCAAGACCAUCAUUAGGUGCUCGGUCGUUUCCUUAGCAUGUAUGUAUGCAGGCCACAGCAAGCCAGCAAGAGCUAUCCACCUAUACAACGUGGGGGGUCUCGGCGACGGUGCCCACGAAGAUGCGGACACGGUUGGGCCUCAAGUCCUCGGUCACGGCGGAGCCGACCGGCACCAUGACAAUGUCGGCGUCGGGCUUGUCCUUCAGGAUGAUCUCCUUGGCCUCCUUGAUGCUCAGCCCCACCACCUCCGGCCACGAAGUCUUCUUUCCACCGGCGAGGUCGUCGGAGGAACUCAUCUUCGUAGCACUGGUUGAUAACUUGAGAUCGAUCGAUCAAUCAGAGAUAGCUUAAUUGAGGCGGAGUGAGGUAUUUCAGCAACAAACUAAACAAGAAGAUCAGUUGAGGCACAUCUAGUUGCUACUCACCGAUUGAUGGACGGUCUUCUCCGAGCUGAUGGACGUACGGCCGAUGAUAUUGGAUGAUUGACAGGCUAGCAAAAGUUGCGCUGUGCGUGAGACUUGAUUUGCAUAACACAUUGGUCGAGUGAUGUAAUAUAGUAGAGAGAUUACGAGUAGGUAGCAGCUUCAUUUUCCACCCAUGGUACCUUCUGAAAGCUGAAUAAAACUGUUGCUUAUUGAUGA